rnacentral:rRNA from 1 species
UACAGAGGGGGCAAGCGUUGUUCGGAAUUACUGGGCGUAAAGGGCGCGUAGGCGGUCCGAUAAGUCCCGUGUGAAAGCCCCCGGCUCAACUGGGGAACUGCACGGGAAACUGACGGACUUGAGUUCGGGAGAGGGAAGCGGAAUUCCGGGUGUAGCGGUGAAAUGCGUAGAUAUCCGGAGGAACACCAGUGGCGAAGGCGGCUUCCUGGACCGAUACUGACGCUGAGGCGCGAAAGCUAGGGGAGCAAACGGG